AGUUCUGCGUUCGAGUCUGCUCUGGCUGUGCUGUGUUGGCUGUGUUGGGACACUAUGUUCCAGGGAUUAUGAUUUCCUACAUUGUCUUGUUGAGUAUCCUGCUGUGGCCCCUGGUGGUUUAUCAUGAGCUGAUCCAGAGGAUGUACACUCGCCUGGAGCCCCUGCUCAUGCAGCUGGACUACAGCAUGAAGGCAGAAGCCAAUGCCCUGCAUCACAAACACGACAAGAGGAGUAAGGGGCUGCCCUAAUCCAGGAGGGUGAAAGAGCGGGAGGGCCUUGGCUUGGGGUUCAUGAGAUGCCCUAGAAUUGAGAUCUUCAGUUCUUUAACUGUGUUUGUCUCCCCUCCCAUCAUUCAUGCUUGGUCAUUGCUCUACUACUCUUGCUUUUCUAGAGCGUCAGGGGAAGAAUGCACCCCCAGGAGGUGAUGAGCCACUGGCAGAGACAGAGAGUGAAAGCGAGGCAGAGCUGGCUGGCUUCUCCCCAGUGGUGGAUGUGAAGAAAACAGCAUUGGCCUUGGCCAUUACAGACUCAGAGCUGUCA
rnacentral:sRNA from 1 species